UGCGUCUGGGGAGACGAUGCCACUUCCGGUGGCAUCUGGGGCAAAUGGCACGAGUCAGCAUUUACUUUCUCGCUUUAGAAAGCGGAAGAAUAAUGAUCGAAGCUUCAAGACCUUGACGUUAUAUGAAAACGUGAGGUGCAAUUCAAAACCUCGGCUCAUAUUACCCUCCCACUGGUGCCGGGUGUUCACGGCUGAAAAGGUGUUUGGAAGGCGGAAAAGGAGGAAGUGGGAAGAGAGAAACGGGGAAACGGUGAGAGGAGAGGAAGAUCGCUGCCUUUUCUAACUCAUACUCAAUAGCAGUAAUCCUGAACUUCCGUGUGGCCUGUUACAGUUGGCGAACCGCUUUCCAGUCCUCUCCCUUGGUCUUCCCACCAACCUCUUGGUGGCAACAGCCCAGUCCACGUCUGCGUGGAGAACGGCAGGCCGGGCUGCACCUCCACUAGACCUGUCAGCUUCCUCCUCCAGUGUCCUCUGGAAGCCUGCAGGUUCCCACCUGGAAUAAACCUAACAGUUACCUAUAUGGAGACCUCCCAAACCUCAGUACUGAUUAGUGCUACGGUGACUGCAUGUCUGUUGAUGGUGUGGACUGAAGCUAAAGCUGUGACGCCGUGAAAUAAGCGAACCAUUAGAUCCUCUGGCUUCAGGGCCUUCAGGCUCGGGUUUAAAACCUGAUUCAGUCACUUAUGACUGUGGGACCUUGGCCAUCACUUAACUACUCUGUGACUCAAUUUUCUCCUUUGGAAAAUGGUGAUAAUAAUAACCACUAUAUAGAUGCCAAGAUUACAUGAGAAAAUACACCUAGAGUACCGGGCACA